GGAACCGGAGGGAUCGAUCCGCCGCAAGGCGUGCAUCGACUUUCCGUUCCUCACUGUGGGAUACUCACCGGUGCUCUUCACUGGGUGCCGGUCCAAAGUGGCGUUGCCUACGGACAGCGUCAUGGGGUUCCCAUUCGUUUACUUUGAAAAAAUUGGAGUGUUCAAAGCAGGCAUAAAGGGGCCUUGAACAAUACAGCAUGGGAUAAUAGAAUAGGACACAGGUCCUCAUUUUGUUGGUUUCUAGGGCUUGUGUA
rnacentral:rRNA from 1 species